UCUGAAGCCAGCUCCUACGCAGCCAACUUCAGCUGGGCUUGUGUACCUUAUGAAUACUUUGUUUUCCCAGUGAGACUUCCUUGAAGAAAACUAAAUUUUCAUUUCUGCCACCCACCACUGCCAAACACCGUGGACUAACUGAACACCUGUGCCACCCACUGGCCAAACAAAGUUACUGCAUCUGGAGUAGAAAUGAGGUAAAAUUAUGGUGGAAUAUUUAUCAUUUGCUAAAAUUGGUAACAUUUUUGCUUAUUAUGUGAAUUCACUGUUUAAGGAGGAUGCUAAUCUGCCAAUUACUGGCCUAUAUACCGUAACGACAUUUAGCUUGCUGGUACAAAUAAUAUUACUAGCCAGAGGAAUCAGGAAUAGGCAUAAGGAAAACCUCACCACCUACUUACAGGAAAUAACAGCUUUAUGCAGUGAGGUUUAGGAGAACAGAUUAGGUCAGACCACAAUUGUGCAG
rnacentral:lncRNA from 1 species